rnacentral:rRNA from 1 species
CCUACGGGAGGCUGCAGUGAGGAAUAUUGGUCAAUGGACGAGAGUCUGAACCAGCCAAGUAGCGUGAAGGAUGACUGCCCUAUGGGUUGUAAACUUCUUUUAUAUGGGAAUAAAACGUUCCACGUGUGGGAUUUUGUAUGUACCAUAUGAAUAAGGAUCGGCUAACUCCGUGCCAGCAGCCGCGGUAAUACGGAGGAUCCGAGCGUUAUCCGGAUUUAUUGGGUUUAAAGGGAGCGUAGGUGGAUUGUUAAGUCAGUUGUGAAAGUUUGCGGCUCAACCGUAAAAUUGCAGUUGAAACUGGCAGUCGUGAGUACAGUAGAGGUGGGCGGAAUUCGUGGUGUAGCGGUGAAAUGCUUAGAUAUCACGAAGAACUCCGAUUGCGAAGGCAGCUCACUGGACUGCAACUGACACUGAGGCUCGAAAGUGUGGGUAUCAAACAGGAUUAGAUACCCUUGUAGUC